GGCGGACCCACUGCUGGACCUGGUGGGUCACGUGACCCACCAAGUUUUUCAAUUUUUUUUUUUUUUAAUAUUUAUAUGGAAAAAAGUAGAAUUCCCAAGACCCAAGUUCCCAUUUCCCAGCCAACUCCUCCGUCCCAUUAAUUACAGCAUUUUGAAAACAGAAAGAUGAGAAAAUAAACCCAUUACAAUUUACAAACCAAUUCCAAUUUCCAAACACCAAAAAACUGUUGCCUUCCCUUCCGGCCUUCCAUAAUCAGUGACCGGAGAAACAAGAAAUAUUCAGCCGGCGUUCCGCGUGUCUUUGCUGUAGCCUGUGGCCUGUGAGUUUGUGACGUGUAGUGCCUUGCGACUGUGUGAACUGUGAAGUGUACUGCCAUCCCAUUCAGACUCAGCCAUCCGCCGAGUCGUCGACCGCCUGAUCACUUCCCUCCAUUGGCACCACCGUGACACUGUCCACCUCUAAACGGUUAGUAGGUGCACCCUAAAUCCAUCUGUAAUCGUCUAUGUAACUAUGUUGUGUUUUUUAUUUUAAUAUGUGAGUUUUGAAUUUGUUGAAACUAUGUAAUAGAACUACAGUACAUUUUCUCCCAAUUUCUGGAACAAGAAGAAUUGGUGUAAAUAAGAGUUCUUAAACAGUUAAACAUACUUCUCUUCUGUGUUGUAUAACUUCCCUCCUCGUCGUCCUCGACAAUAAUCUUAAUUGCAGGAACCCUUUCCUUUCACACGAGAUUCGAAUAUAGUAUAAAAAGAAACAAAUAAACAAAAGAAUAAAUAGUUUAUGCGGCUUCUAACCAAUAUUAGAACGAGACUAAACUGUUUUGCAAAUUGGUUAGACUAAACUUCAAAACAAAUAUGUUUUAGUUUUUGUUUAUUUGCAAACCAACCCGGAGGUACUUCACUCAGUUCACUGUGGCAGUAGCCGGGAAUGUUUGAAUUUGUCUUGUCUAUAUUUGAUUUCUAAAUUUUUAGUGAAUUUCUUGAACUAAGUAUGUUAAAUUAUUAUUUGUUAACAUUGUUAACUGUUAAGUUUUUUAUUUACCACUAUUUGUUGAUUUUAGCAUUAAAUGGAAAUUUUUUUAUCUGUGAAAAUAGUAUAGUUUCAAUAAUUAUCUUUAGACUUGUAUUUUGGAGAUUUUAACUUUUUUUUAAAAAAAAAAAUCAACGAGUUUAAUUAUAUUGAACUGAAGGCUAGAAACUUCAUAACCAUAUUUUUAUUUCUGCGACGUAGAAUUCAUUAGGUUUAAGUUCAUUCUUUUGUUUUUUUUUUUUCAAUGAAUUGAUUGUUUUCAUUGAUCGUUUCUAUCAGUUAUGGAGAAGUAUUUUAAACGUAAAUCUACGUUUUCUUGUGAUGAGCAAGAUGUUAAUAAAAGGAAUGUUCGAGAUAAAAUAGAUGAAAUGAAUGUUGGGGAUGAAAUUGAUGGAACUAAUCUUGAAGAUGGCCCGAUUCAAACAAAUGUCGAGGAUGUUGGGGAUGAAAGUCAUGAAUUUGAUGUUGCACAGCUACCUUCAGAUCCUGGAUUGAGAGUUCCAAUACAAAAUUAUGAUAUUAAUGUCCGAGAUGAAAUUCGAAGAACAUAUGUGCAACGGGGUCCUUGUCAGCCUCGCAAUCAUGAAUUUCCACCCACAAAGAAUGGCUAACAAAGAUAGGCAAUUUUGUGUUUCAUGGUAUAAUGAGCAUCCUAGUUGGUUGGAAUACAGUAUAGCCAAAGAUGCUGUAUUUUGCUUUUAUUGUUAUCUUUUUAGUUCAAGUGGUGGUUCAUUUGUUAAUGGUGGGUUCUCAAAUUGGAAAAGGAAAGAGAUUAUUAGAAAACAUGUUGGGGCAUCAAAUAGCGCACACAAUCAGGCUCGAGUCCAGUAUGAAUCAUUCAAGAAUCAAGAACAAAGCAUUCAAACCUGUCUCUUUAAAUAGUCGCUUCAAACUCGAACAGAGUAUCGAAUUCGUUUGAAUGCAUCAAUUGAUUGUGUUCGAUUUCUUCUACGACAAGGGUUGGCUUUUCGUGGACAUGAUGAAUCUAAAGAUUCAAACAAUCAAGGGAACUUUCUUGAACUAUUACAUUGGUUGUGUGAUCACAAUACUGAGAUUAAGGUUGUUGCUUUGACGAAUGCACCUGAAAAUCUGAAAUUAACAUCACCACGAGUUCAAAAAGAUAUCGUGAGUGCUAUUUCUUCUGAAAUUCUAAACGUGAUUAUCAAAGAUGUUGGUAAUAGUUUCUUUUCUAUUUUAGUGGAUGAAUCUCGAGACAUUUCAGUGAAGGAGCAGAUGUCAGUUGUCAUUCGUUAUGUGAAGAAUGGACGUGUAUUGGAACAUUUUAUCGGUGUUAUACAUGUUUCGAGUACCACAGUUGUCUCACUUAAGGCUGGAAUUGAUCAAUUAUUUUCCACACAUAGUCUAAGUAUAUCUAAUUUAAGAGGUCAGGGAUAUGAUGGAGCUAGCAAUAUGCGAGGUGAGUAUAAUGGUCUCAAAACACUUAUUUUGAAAGAAAAUUCAAGUGCCUACUACAUUCACUGCUUUGCUAAUCAACUUCAACUGGCUCUUGUAGCUGUGGCACAGAAACAUCCAAAGAUAGAAACUUUUUUCACUUCAGUACACAGAUUGGUGAAUGUUGUAGGAGGAUCAGCUAAACGAAAUGAUCUUAUUCGAGAGAAACAAAGAUUGAAAAUUCUUGAAUCACUUAGUACGGGUGAAAUAUCAAGCGGGCGGGGUCUCAAUCAAGAAACUACUCUUAAGCGUUCUGGUGAUACACGUUGGGGAUCUCACUACAGUUGUUUACUUAACUUGAUAGUCAUGUUUUCAACCACUGUUGAUGUUGUUGAGAUGAUUGCUACUGACACUACAAGUUCUGGAACAAGAGGUGAUGCAUGUAUUUUA
rnacentral:lncRNA from 1 species